rnacentral:rRNA from 1 species
UUAAAGUCAUCCUCAGUUCGGACUGGGGUCUGNAACCCGACCCACGAAGCUGGAUUCGCUAGUAAUCGCGCAUCAGCCAUGGCGCGGUGAAUACGUUCCCGGGCCUUGUACACACCGCCCGUCAAGCCAUGGGAGCCGGGGGCGCCUGAAGUCCGGGACCGCGAGGACCGGCCUAGGGCGAAACUGGUAACUGGGGCUAAGUCGUAACAAGGUAUC